rnacentral:rRNA from 1 species
CCAAUAGCGUAUAUUAAGGUUGCUGCGGUUAAAAAGCUCGUAGUUGAAUUUCGGGAUUGAUGCAUCGGUCGUGCCUUAAGGGGUAUGAACUGGUGUGGUCAAUUUCUUACCUUCUGGUGAAUUGUGAUGUCCUCCUUAAUUGGGUGUUUCAAUGAACUAGGACUUUUUACUUUGAAAAAAUUAGAGUGUUUAAAGCAGGCAUUAUUUGCUUGAAUACAUUAGCAUGGAAUAAUAAAAUAGGACAAUGAUUCUAUUUUGUUGGUUUCUAGGAUCACCGUAAUGAUUAAUAGGGAUAGUUGGGGGCAUUAGUAUUCAAUUGUCAGAGGUGAAAUUCUUGGAUUAAUUGAAGACUAACUACUGCGAAAGCAUUUGCCAAGGAUAUUUUCAUUAAUCAAGAACGAAAGUUAGGGGAUCGAAGACGAUUAGGUACGUCGUAGUCUUAACCAUAAACUAUGCCGACUAGGAAUCAGACAACGUUAAAUUUUUAAUGACUUGUUUGGCACCUUACG